GAUGAACGCUGGCGGCGUGCCUAAUACAUGCAAGUCGAGCGAACGGACGAGAAGCUUGCUUUUCUGAUGUUAGCGGCGGACGGGUGAGUAACACGUGGAUAACCUACCUAUAAGACUGGGAUAACUUCGGGAAACCGGAGCUAAUACCGGAUAAUAUUUUGAACCGCAUGGUUCAAAAGUGAAAGACGGUCUUGCUGUCACUUAUAGAUGGAUCCGCGCUGCAUUAGCUAGUUGGUAAGGUAACGGCUUACCAAGGCAACGAUGCAUAGCCGACCUGAGAGGGUGAUCGGCCACACUGGAACUGAGACACGGUCCAGACUCCUACGGGAGGCAGCAGUAGGGAAUCUUCCGCAGUGGGCGAAAGCCUGACGGAGCAACGCCGCGUGAGUGAUGAAGGUCUUCGGAUCGUAAAACUCUGUUAUUAGGGAAGAACAUAUGUGUAAGUAACUGUGCACAGCUUGACGGUACCUAAUCAGAAAGCCACGGCUAACUACGUG
rnacentral:rRNA from 1 species